GACGAACGCUGGCGGCGUGCCUAAUACAUGCAAGUCGAACGGUCUUUUCUAUGGAAGCUUGCUUCCGCUGAGAAGAUAGUGGCGAACGGGUGAGUAACACGUGGGUAACCUGCCCAUAAGAGGGGGAUAACAUCCGGAAACGGGUGCUAAUACCGCAUAGGUUUCUUGGUCGCAUGAUCGAGAAAGGAAAGACGGCCUUUGCGCUGUCGCUUAUGGAUGGACCCGCGUCUGAUUAGCUAGUUGGUGAGGUAACGCCUACCAAGGCGACGAUCAGUAGCCGGCUUGAGAGAGUGAACGCACAUUGGGACUGAGACACGGCCCAAACUCCUACGGGAGCAGCAGU
rnacentral:rRNA from 1 species